rnacentral:rRNA from 1 species
GACAGAGGAUGCAAGCGUUAUCCGGAAUGAUUGGGCGUAAAGCGUCUGUAGGUGGCUUUUCAAGUCCGCCGUCAAAUCCCAGGGCUCAACCCUGGACAGGCGGUGGAAACUACCAAGCUGGAGUACGGUAGGGGCGGAGGGAAUUUCCGGUGGAGCGGUGAAAUGCAUUGAGAUCGGAAAGAACACCAACGGCGAAAGCGCUCUGCUGGGCCGCCACUGACACUGAGAGACGAAAGCUAGGGGAGCAAAUGGG